UACGGAGGGUGCGAGCGUUGUCCGGAAUCACUGGGCGUAAAGGGCGCGUAGGCGGCGCGGUUAGUCGGCGGUGAAAGCCCGGAGCUCAACUCCGGGUCGGCCGUCGAUACUUCUGGGCUUGAGCACUGUAGAGGCAGAUGGAAUUCCGGGUGUAGCGGUGGAAUGCGUAGAGAUCCGGAAGAACACCGGUGGCGAAGGCGGUCUGCUGGGCAGUUGCUGACGCUGAUGCGCGACAGCGUGGGGAGCAAACAGG
rnacentral:rRNA from 1 species